AUCCAGCUGACGAGUCUCAAAUAGGACGAAACGCGUGUACUGGAU
rnacentral:hammerhead_ribozyme from 1 species